CACACGUGACAGCUUAUGUGGCAGCUGACAUGGGAGAGGAUGUUACACUUUCCAAAAAUGUGUUUAAAAUAUUGCUUUUUAAUGGGUUCAGAAGUCCAAAUGACAAACAUGUAAGUAAAAGUGUCCAACUUACAAAACAGACAUAGUACAAGGGUCUAGAAGAGCAUUUUGUCAAUUCUAAAAUUUAAAAUUUUGAGUUGGAGGACUUUUAAAAAAU
rnacentral:lncRNA from 1 species